AAUAAACAUAGGUAUAGUUUCAGUGUUCAACUUUAACCAUCCGUCUUAUUUAAAAUAUUUUUAUAAUUAGUAUUUUUAUUAUUGUUAGAUAAUAAAAUAUGAAUAGUACUUUUAUGCGUAACUUAACUUUUAAAAUUUUUUCAUAAAUUUUUCAAAUAAGACGAUGGUUAAAUAUUGGGCACGGGAAUUUUUAGCUGCACUUAUA
rfam:Oryza glaberrima chromosome 8 Oglab08_0165_19, whole genome shotgun sequence.